GACGAACGCUGGCGGCGUGCUUAACACAUGCAAGUCGAACGGAAAGGCCCUGCUUUUGUGGGGUGCUCGAGUGGCGAACGGGUGAGUAACACGUGAGUAACCUGCCCUUGACUUUGGGAUAACUUCAGGAAACUGGGGCUAAUACCGGAUAGGAGCUCCUGCUGCAUGGUGGGGGUUGGAAAGUUUCGGCGGUUGGGGAUGGACUCGCGGCUUAUCAGCUUGUUGGUGGGGUAGUGGCUUACCAAGGCUUUGACGGGUAGCCGGCCUGAGAGGGUGACCGGCCACAUUGGGACUGAGAUACGGCCCAGACUCCUACGGGAGGCAGCAGUGGGGAAUAUUGCACAAUGGGCGGAAGCCUGAUGCAGCAACGACGCGUGCGGGAUGACGGCCUUCGGGUUGUAAGCCGCUUUCGCCUGUGACGAAGCGUGAGUGACGGUAAUGGGUAAAGAAGCACCGGCUAACUACGUG
rnacentral:rRNA from 1 species